UUUUCAGCUCCUAGCUCAGAGCAUCACAUCCAGGACUCAUCCUUACAUGCAGCGUGUUGAAUGAAUGUUCUCCCGCUGGAUAGCAGAGAAGAACACUGGUGAUAAAGUUAGUGUCAAGAGUUUGAAUCCUGGCUCAACCCCCUGCUGGACGGGUAAAGUCUGGCACAUCGGCAGCACCAUGCAGGACACAGAAGGGCCAGGCUGAUGUGGUCAGGCCAAGGGAAGGGGCAGUAUUUGGCAAAAGAAACCAGCAAUGCCCAGGAAAGACACACUG